UAAAAAGUAAAUAAAAUAAAAAAUGGGGGGCCCUCGGGACAACCAAUCUAAUGCCCCAAUUGAGCUUCCCAUAGGUUAAGUAAAGCAUACCAAGACCGCUUCCUAUAGCUUGUCUGAUAAGAUGUCAGCCACACUAGACUCACACACGCCACAGACCCCUACAGAGGCAGCAGUGGAAUAUUUUGCGCUAUGGGGGAACCUGACGCAGCCAUCCCGCGAGAAUGGAGAACCCAUAGGGUUGUAAUGCUUUUCUGUAUUGAGGAAUGUUGAUGUGUUAAUAGCACAUCAUAUUGACGUUAUAUACAGAAGAAGCACCCGCUAUCUCCGUGCCAGCAGGCGCUGUUAUACGGAGGGUGCGAGCUAUUAUCGGUAUAACUGGGUGUAAAGGGCACACAGGCGGUUAUUUAAGUGAGGUGUGAACGCCCCGCGCUUAACCUGGGAAUUGCAUUUCAGACUGUGUAACUAGAGUACUUUAGGGAGGGGUAGAAUUCCACGUGUAGCGGUGAAAUGCGUAGAGAUGUGGAGGAAUACCGAACGCGAAGGCAGCCCCUUGGGAAUGUACUGACGCUCAUGCGCGGAAGCGUGGGGAGCACACAGG
rnacentral:rRNA from 1 species